rnacentral:misc_RNA from 1 species
GAUGAAGAACGCAGUGAAAUGCGAUAAGUAAUGUGAAUUGCAGAAUUCAGUGAAUCAUCGAAUCUUUGAACGCACAUUGCGCCCCCUGGUAUUCCGGGGGGCAUGCCUGUUCGAGCGUCAUUUCACCACUCAAGCCUCGCUUGGUAUUGGGCAACGCGGUCCGCCGCGUGCCUCAAAUCGACCGGCUGGGUCUUCUGUCCCCUAAGCGUUGUGGAAACUUUCGCUAAAGGGUGUUCGGGAGGCUACGCCGUAAAACAACCCCAUUUCUAAGGUUGACCUCGGAUCAGGUAGGGAUACCCGCUGAACUUAAGCAUAUCAUAAGCGGAGGA